rnacentral:rRNA from 1 species
AACGAACGCUGGCGGCAGGCCUAACACAUGCAAGUCGAACGCCCCGCAAGGGAGUGGCAGACGGGUGAGUAACACGUGGGAACAUACCCUUCGGUUCGGAAUAACUCAGGGAAACUUGAGCUAAGACCGGAUACGUCCGCGAGGAGAAAGAUUCAUCGCCGGAGGAUUGGCCCCGCGUCCGAUUAGCUAGUUGGUGAGGUAACGGCUCACCAAGGCGACGAUCGGUAGCUGGUCUGAGAGGAUGAUCAGCCACAUUGGGACUGAGACACGGCCCAAACUCCUACGGGAGGCAGCAGUGGGGAAUAUUGGACAAUGGGCGAAAGCCUGAUCCAGCCAUGCCGCGUGAGUGAUGAAGGCCCUAGGGUUAGUAAAGCUCUUUCGUCAGGGACGAUAAUGACGGUACCUGAAGAAGAA